rnacentral:rRNA from 1 species
GUAGCGGCGGACGGGUGAGUAAUGCUUAGGAAUCUGCCUAUUAGUGGGGGCCAACAUUCCGAAAGGAAUGCUUAAUACCGCAUACGUCCUACGGGAGAAAGCAGGGGAUCUUCGGCCCUUGCGCUAAUAGAUGAACCUAAGUCAGAUUAGCUAGUUGGUGGGGUAAAGGCCUACCAAGGCAACGAUCUGUAGUUGGUCUGAGAGGACGCCCAGCCCCUGGGACUGAGACACGGCCCAGACUCCUACGGGAGGCAGCAGUGGGGAAUUUUGGACAAUGGGCGCAAGCCUGAUCCAGCAAUGCCGCGUGCAGGAAGAAGGCCUUCGGGUUGUAAACUGCUUUUGUCAGGGAAGAAAUCUUCUGGGUUAAUACCUCGGGAGGAUGACGGU